AGUUACCCGCAAUGCUUCAAACCAUAGAAAAACACUCUUUUUCUUCGAACAACAUUGGUUGUCUUGUUCUUAGAACAACAUUGGUUGUCUUGUUCUUAGAACAAAGCAUGGCUUCAAUGCCUGGAAUCCUCACAGAUUGGCCAUGGAAACCUCUCGGAAGCUUUAAGUAUGUGGUGUUAGCUCCAUGGGUGGUUCACAGCAGUUAUUCUGUGAUGGUGAAGGAUGA